AGAGUUUGAUCCUGGCUCAGGAUGAACGCUAGCGACAGGCUUAACACAUGCAAGUCGAGGGGCAGCAUAAAAGUAGCAAUACUUUGGUGGCGACCGGCGCACGGGUGAGUAACGCGUAUGCAACCUACCUAUCAGAGGGGAAUAACCCGGCGAAAGUCGGACUAAUACCGCAUAAAACAGGGGCACCGCAUGGUGAUAUUUGUUAAAGAAAUUCGCUGAUAGAUGGGCAUGCGUUCCAUUAGGUAGUUGGUGAGGUAACGGCUCACCAAGCCGACGAUGGAUAGGGGAACUGAGAGGUUGGUCCCCCACACUGGUACUGAGACACGGACCAGACUCCUACGGGAGGCAGCAGUGAGGAAUAUUGGUCAAUGGGCGAGAGCCUGAACCAGCCAAGUCGCGUGAAGGAAGAAGGAUCUAUGGUUCGUAAACUUCUUUUGCAGGGGAAUAAAGUGCAGGACGUGUCCUGUUUUGUAUGUACCCUGAGAAUAAGGAUCGGCUAACUCCGUGCCAGCAGCCGCGGUAAUACGGAGGAUCCGAGCGUUAUCCGGAUUUAUUGGGUUUAAAGGGUGCGUAGGUGGUUUGAUAAGUCAGCGGUGAAAGUUUGCAGCUUAACUGUAAAAAUGCCGUUGAAACUGUCGGACUUGAGUGUAAAUGAGGUAGGCGGAAUGCGUGGUGUAGCGGUGAAAUGCAUAGAUAUCACGCAGAACUCCGAUUGCGAAGGCAGCUUACUAAGCUACAACUGACACUGAAGCACGAAAGCGUGGGGAUCAAACAGGAUUAGAUACCCUGGUAGUCCACGCAGUAAACGAUGAUUACUAGCUGUUUGCGAUACACAGUAAGCGGCACAGCGAAAGCGUUAAGUAAUCCACCUGGGGAGUACGCCGGCAACGGUGAAACUCAAAGGAAUUGACGGGGGCCCGCACAAGCGGAGGAACAUGUGGUUUAA
rnacentral:rRNA from 1 species